CACGUUAAACUCGUAUCUUACCUUGGGGGACUUAGGGUGUCAAGUAAUGCCUAUUUUAUCAAACUUUCCCGAUGUCCUUAGACUUAGCCUCUCAUCACUCUAACUCUAUAUACUUUCAUGAUUUUCCCAUGAUCAAAGUUUUUUCAAGAUUUUUUUGAAUGGUCCUAAUUCAAGAAAAUAAAUUGAAACAAUGGUCUUUUUGAAAGUAAAAUCAACGGAAACAAAUAAAAGAAUAAAAAGCAAA
rnacentral:lncRNA from 1 species